GGUGGGGAAUGUAGAAAAACUAGUUGGCAAAAUAAAUGAUUCUAUAAAUAACUCGUCUGCUUACUCUCAUCCGAUCCAGAUUAUUUCUUCCACCACAGUUUCUGGUUCUUCUCUUUUUAUUAACGGAUCACUUGCGAGGAAGGCUAUAAGGGAAUUGAUGGCAAGAGGGUCGAUUAGGUUCGUUUCCACCCAUUCAAGCCAGCAGUUUGGAAACAAACACCUAGAUCUUUUUGCUUAAUUAGUUAUAUAUGGUAUUGCCUUUUCCUUCUUAGACUUGCCAUAGCUCUAGAGUGUUUUUUGCUACAGUCUCGUAUUAUUGUUGUGGUUUUGGAGACAGUGUUGUCAUGUUUUUUGCUGCUCAGUUUUCCCAAAUGAGACUGUUUCUUAGCAUUGGGUAUUAUAGCAUUGGUUCUAUUGGAUUCAUUGAUUGGAAAUCACUAUCUGUUUUGCUUUAUCUCUGUGUUUAAUAAAGUAUUGACCUAAUGCUUGUUUAACUAUGAUGUCUUUGGGAAUCUAAUUAAUUUUUGUGCUUAAUUUUAUUGGAUUUUGAUGCAGGCUUUGAAUUGGAGCUAAUAUUGAAUGGAAGGAAUUGGAGCUAACAUUUUUCUAUUCUUUCCAGUUUCGUUUUUCUUGUUUUAUUUUUCUUCUUUCAGGAAUGGAACAAGAUUCAGGAAGAAAUUUCAAGCUGUCCCCCGAUCUCAUCUUACUUUCUCUAUUUUUUUCUAUCUGGUUUUAGGUGGCGGAAAAUUUGUUCUAAUCAUGCAACCUAACUGAGUUUUGUUCUACAUUUUCACCUUUGAUUUUGGUAGUUUUUGGGUUCAUUCUCAUAUCUUUGUUCCAUGAGUAUAAUCCUAAGCUAAAUAUGCUAUCUUCCCCAUCUUUUACCUUUGUUUGAAUUUGAGACAUUCCAAUCUUUUAACCUCAUUUUCAAUUUCUUUUGUGUUUUUUGAUUAUCAUUGUUAGAUUAUCUCGGUGUAUGAAGUCUAUUUUGCUUUUCCAAUAUUGUUAUGCUGAGCUAACCUUUUAUUGCACGAGACAUCAGAUUCA